GACGAACGCUGGCGGCGUGCUUAACACAUGCAAGUCGAACGGUGAACGAGGGAGCUUGCUCCCUCCGGAUCAGUGGCGAACGGGUGAGUAACACGUGAGCAAUCUGCCCCGAACUCUGGGAUAAGCGUUGGAAACGACGUCUAAUACCGGAUACGACGCGGGAGGGCAUCCUCUCCGCGUGGAAAGAACUUCGGUUCGGGAUGAGCUCGCGGCCUAUCAGCUUGUUGGUGAGGUAACGGCUCACCAAGGCGACGACGGGUAGCCGGCCUGAGAGGGUGACCGGCCACACUGGGACUGAGACACGGCCCAGACUCCUACGGGAGGCAGCAGUGGGGAAUAUUGCACAAUGGGCGCAAGCCUGAUGCAGCAACGCCGCGUGAGGGACGACAGCCUUCGGGUUGUAAACCUCUUUUAGCAGGGAAGAAGCGAAGGUGACGGUACCUGCAGAAAAAGCACCGGCUAACUACGUG
rnacentral:rRNA from 1 species